CGCUUACAUCACGUUGAAACACUGAUUACCAUACGAUCUCCGAAGUUAAGGAACAUCGAGCCUGGUUAGUAUGUACAUGGGUGACCGAUUGGGGAUACCAGGUACUGUAAG